CCCGGGCUCCCACCCGGUCAUCUGGGACCGAAAAAAUGGCUGUGGGGGAGAACUACGUCAACCUGGUUCAUCCCGUCGUCCUGAAGUGUUUUCACUGAAAGGGCCGUGGAUAAUGGCAGUGCACUCGGUGACACCUCUAUCCCCAUCUCCGUGGAGUUCUUACAGGCAGGUUUCAGUGGGGCUGGCAUACAACCCUGCUCACAGAACAGUGCGCUGUACAUCCUGUGCUGAAGAGUUAAUUUUCCUGCUAGCUGCUCUGCCACACCUAAGACAAACUUUCUCCCCAAGCAGCAGGAGUCAGAGGCUGCACCCAGAGGUGACUGAAGCAUCAGCUGGUACCCUCAGAGCAUCCUGGAGAACAGAAGAGCAGCAAUACAAAUCACCAGGGGCUGCAGGAGAGUAGUGGAAGCAGAGGAUGGGAUCCACAACUUGUACCAUGAAGAUGAUUUAAAGAUAUGGAGAUAACAAACUUUAUAAUUUUGAGGCUGGUGUCAUAGAAUGAUAGAAUCACAGAAUGGCCUGGGUUGAAAAGGACCACAAUGCUCAUCCAGUUUCAACCCCCUGCUGUGUCCAGGGUCACCAACCAGCAGACCAGGCUGCCCAGAGCCACAUCCAGCCUGGCCUUGAAUGCCUCCAGGGAUGGGGCAUCCACAGCCUCCUUGGGCAACCUGUUCCAGUGCUUCACCGCCCUGCUGAGUUUCACAGAAUCACAGAAUCACAGAAUUGUAGGGGUUGGAAGGGACCUCCAGAGAUGAUCGAGUCCAACCCCCCUGCCAAAGCAGGUUCCCUACACCAGGUAGCACAGGUAGGCAUCCAGGCAGGUCUUGAACGUCUCCAGAGUUUGUGUGCCUUACGCUUAGCUCUAAAGCAGUAACUUCUGAAGAGCUUCCAUUUAUUGCUGGAGUUGCAGGGAAUAUUCAUGGCAUGAGUUGGCAGAACUUUGGUUCUGGUAAAUAUUUAGGAACACAGAAGGAAUUAAAAAAAAGGCUACAGAGCCUGUUCCUUUUGUUUAUCAGAGCUGCAGUCACAAGUACUUUUCUAAGUGUAUACUGAAUCAAAAAUGCGUUGAGGAUACACAUCAACACCUUCCAAGACAGCAGUGCCCAUUCAUUCUCCCUGUUGGUCCUUUUAGAAGGACCACCACAAACGUCCUGGUUUGUGUCCUUUUGCCUGCCAGCUGCAUCUCUCCUUUGGAAAGUGAUGGGUCAUUUUGGAAAGUGCUCUCUGCUCCCCACAUUGAAGUAACCCCAUUUUUUCCUCUCUGACUGAGAUGAGAGCUGGCUGAGGAGAGGGAAACAGACCUUUGCAGAAGUGCAGUGUUUUGUCAGUCUUGAGCUCUGAGCCUGUGCAUUGUCAGUCAAAGAAGCAGGAAGUGUCACUAAAUUCCCACCUGGGACUGCAUUUGUUCUGUCUUGUUCUAUCCAAGUUCUUGCUUGGCACCCAUUAACUUGAUUCUGAGUGGCUCUGUGGUAAAUGAAGCACUUUGCAUUUCCAGCUUGGGACACUGGGAGAAAAUACACAGGUUUCUACUUAGGAAAACAUUAACCUUGAACAGGAAGGAAGGACAGCCCAAGCAGUGCUUUCACAAUAUUCUCAGGCAGAGAACACCACCUAGUUUCAUCCCUCAGCAAGAUGGAAAAAGGUGGAAGCCAGCCUUGACUCAUGGGAUCCCUUUUAGCCUCCAACAAUUCAGCCUUGAUGGACUUUUCCAUCCCACUGCUCUUGGGACACCACAGUGGCAACCACAUGUUUGUUGUACACUUAAUCUGAAUAAGGGAAAAACUGCUCACAGUGGGGAGAGCUUGUGAACCAAAGGUGAGGUGUUAAUGUCUGCACAGCACAUACAAAGCGUACAGACUUUUGGACUGUCCAAGAUGGAUCACCUUGAAGCAAUUUCAUCAAGUAAAUUAGCUUCCCUUGAAAUAUCCCAGAGAAAACGGCAGCCGUUCUGCAGGGAAACUGAAAUACAUGUCAUAGAUGGAGAGUGGUAACAGAGGUAAAAGCUGAAAGAAACUGUGACUUGUAGGUGAGUAUUAGGGACAGGAAGGAUGUGACUGUAGAAGGGUGUUGUAGAUGAACUGAUAAUAGGAAGGAAAUUCUUGUAUUUUUAGUAGAACGAGUUGCUUUAUAAAAAGGAGAGUUUUAACUGCUCAGGGAGUUAUUUUACAACUGUGAUAUCAAUAUCAAUAUCAAUAAAAUUGUAGCAUCCAGAGUGGCUCUGUAGUAGUAAACAGAAAUGAGGGAAAAAGUGAUUCUGGAAUAAGAGCACAAGUGUCAAUCAACAAAAUGCACCUUAGUCCCAUGAUUGCCAGGAAUUCCCAUUACCUGGAUCCGAAUGCUAAGGGAAUGUUUUUGCUGUACCUACCUGCAAUCUUUAGUCAAACAGGCAAUAGGUGGGGUGCUGUGGGCUUCAUGAUGUGUUCCUCCUCUAUUAUCCUUUGUUAUCCUCCCCAGCAUUGUUGUCCUCUGUCUGCCCAGAUGGAGACCUGGUGGAACACCUGUAGGUCCUUUUUUUGCCUACGCCUCAAUUUCCUUGCAGUGGAAAUUAGGAUGCAGGAAGAGGAAAUACUGUACAUCAGAGCCUAAUCCCAAUAUGCAGCUACCAUGUGGCUGGGGUUGAUUGGGGACUGAAAAGUCUCUGCUUCCCAACAUUAGGAAUACUCAGAGGGUACAAGUUGCUUGAUAACAGCUUUCAGUAAUUAGAGAUUAAACUAUGUUUCUUACUGCCCUCCUCUGUAAAGCAGGAAUAAUACUUUACAGCAACUCAAGGGAUUCUGAUGACAUCAGCUCUUCUCAUGAUCAAGUGAGCGUGCACUGUGAGAAUACCACCUGAUUGUGAGUGGCUUCAAAAUCAUCAGCAAAAGGUUGUAUUAAUACAGAUGUUCUGUAUACCUAAUUGUGAAAGGGCUCCUAUUGCAAUUUAGAGGACAAAGGAAGCCAGCAGAAAAUACAUAGGUAAGUGUCUGUCUGAGACUUCUGUUAAUUAAAGCAUGUAAUUUAUUGCAACAAAACAAAUCAUACUGAACUGAAUCAAGACUAUUUGUCCAUGGUAAUCAUAAGUAUAUAUUUGUAGUAUUGCAUCAUUUGUGUAAUAUCCAGAGAUGAACAAACAGUUUGGAAGAAAACAAACCCAUCAAAAGUGAGUUCUUUUUGUGGGCAAUGAGGACCCUAGUUUCAGCCAGGACCAGCCUAAAGGGUUUGACACAUAAAAAAUAGCAAUAAGGAAAAGGAAAAGAAAUGAAAAGUAAUUGAGAACUAAACAGCAGGUUUCAACAUGUUUAUAACUGCUAAGUAAUGUACAUGUAUGACUAAGAAAAAGAAUAUAUUCACUUCUGAAUUAGUCAAGUUUUUCACUUUUUAAACAGUAUUAUUUUAUUGUUAGUCUUUCUCCACAUGCUUUUCUCAGAAGCAGAAUAAACAAUGAUAAAAACAUGCCCUGGAAUGUUUUCAUUAAAAAAAAAAAAGAAAAAAAAAAGAAAGAAGAAAAGCAUGUUAUGAUAGGGUUUGAAUUUUAAUAUACAAUGCAUUCUGAGCUAAUCCUCUCUUACACAGGAUGAGAAGUGAGAGGCUUUUCAAUCUGUGAAAGCUGAGUUUGGGCAUUUCUUUCUGGAUCUGCGUUGCCUCUGCGACACUUACUGACGUCAUUGCUACUUAGGGGAGCAUAAGGAGCCUACCUUGGUGUAAGGGUUAGGUUUGGGAAUGGGAGAUGCUGACAGCUGGGACUCAAAAGCAAAGGAGGAACUGAUGGUAAAACUGUAUUUAAAUGAACAAAAUGGAUAAGCAAGGAUUGCAGAUAAUUACACAGACUUUAACGGAGUUUCUUUAUGAACUGUAAAACUCACAAAUUCAGAAGACAUGUCCAUGUUAGCAAUUGCGUGACAAUAAGGCUAAGACUAUAAUAGAAAUCACAUGUGAUCCCACUGUGGUCCACGUUCAUUCUAUUGCAUCAUCUUCUCUCCCAAAACAGGGUGCUUCCCAGAUGCUCACUGCAAAUGGUCUCUGAUUUUGACUUAGGACCCAGAAGCUCUGUGGGAAAAAGCUGUGUGCCAACCUGGACUGAGCAUCAGAAGAUCCUACGUAAGGGACCCUUUUUGCUGUGUAAUUGGCUGGAUGCUCCUAUUCCAUUUGCAAAGGUCAUCUGUUGUUUAUUUCAUCCAUACAGGAGGGAUGGUGCAUUUGUCUGCUAACGUAAAUAAAUAUGCUGAAGUCAACGGAUUAUCUCAUAAUAACGAAGUUACAAUGCUGUUCUGUUCUAUUAUGCAUGUAGAACAGUAUGAUUAAUUAUUGCAACAUCAGGCUCUGCAUUCUCAUAUGUAUUUCCUCUGUGAAGCCACAGACCUCUGAACCCUUGAGAAGAUCUGGCAGCUAUUUAUAUGCAUAGAGUUCCUUGCAUACUUAAGGGUUUGUCAUAUUGUGGCUGAGAAAAAAAGAGAAUAAAAGCCACCAGCAAGGCACAUACAAAUCUUUAGUUUGUUUCUUCCAGCAAUUGAAAUGUUUAUUAUAUUUCUAUUAGUACUUCACUCAGUUCUGAUUCAGAAAGUCAGUCCUAUGUCAAACAGUUUUGGGAAGGUGAGACCCUAAACACAGGAUGAGAGCUGCUUGGGUUGUUCUGUUGCAAGUAGCAAGAAGACCAUCAAAAGUUUAAAGCUAGCACAGUUUUACUGUUGUUUUUUGUUUGUUUGUUUGCUUGCUUGUUUGUUUUUCCCAAAAAAAAGCCUUUUAAUUCAUCCACUGGCAUAGAUUCUUUUAUAGUUUUAGUGGUGGACGUACCAAACAUCCAAUGGCCUGCUAACACCUAAAGAAUGUUCAAAAACAGUAAAAUGCUCCUGGUUCAAGUCCCAACGAUAAGUUUAUCUUCAUUAAAAUGUUCUAAAAGCUGAGUUCUCUGUCCACAGUUAUCAGCUCUCUCUUCCUGGUCACCCAGAAUCUGGUUUUGGAUCAUGGAACCGCAGCAAAGAAAGCAAAGCAAGAGAGGGGACAAGGUAGGAAGAGAAAAUGUAUUUUUUAAGUUUAUUUUUUAUUAUCAUAGGUAGAUAAUUAUUUCCAUGUGCCACACAACAAAUGAAACUCCGUUUCCAACUUAUUUUCAUCUCACAGUGAGAUCCACUGGUGAUGUGUCUCAGACUGAGGCUUUUCAUGAGGUUGGGGCGUAUAGUUCAUAUUGCUUUCCUAUGUGGACUCUUUCAUGACUAACAUGGCUUGGUUUGAUGCUGUAAAAUUCCUUCUGUGUAAAGCUUAGCCUUUCCCUCUGCAAUAUUCAGCUGCCUGUUUUCAUGAAACAUGUGGGUACCCAGCACCUUUGAAGCUACUAGCCUUAAGUGAAAGUGGGAUGAAUAUGGCCAGGAGUUAUUUGCAAAGCAUAGACAGACACAAGAGCACACAUACACUCAGAGCAUGACUGCA